rnacentral:rRNA from 1 species
GAUGAACGCUGGCGGCGUGCCUAAUACAUGCAAGUCGAGCGAACAGACGAGGAGCUUGCUCCUCUGACGUUAGCGGCGGACGGGUGAGUAACACGUGGAUAACCUACCUAUAAGACUGGGAUAACUUCGGGAAACCGGAGCUAAUACCGGAUAAUAUAUUGAACCGCAUGGUUCAAUAGUGAAAGACGGUUUUGCUGUCACUUAUAGAUGGAUCCGCGCCGCAUUAGCUAGUUGGUAAGGUAACGGCUUACCAAGGCAACGAUGCGUAGCCGACCUGAGAGGGUGAUCGGCCACACUGGAACUUGGACACGGUCCAGACUCCUACGGGAGGCAGCAGUAGGGAAUCUUCCGCAAUGGGCGAAAGCCUGACGGAGCAACGCCGCGUUAGUGAUGAAGGUCUUCGGGUCGUAAAACUCUGUUAUUAGGGAAGAACAAAUGUGUAAGUAACUAUGCACGUCUUGACGGUACCUAAUCAGAAAGCCACGGCUAACUACGUG